rnacentral:rRNA from 1 species
UACGUAGGGGGCAAGCGUUGUCCGGAAUCAUUGGGCGUAAAGCGCGUGUAGGCGGCUUGGCAAGUCCGCUGUGAAAACUCGAGGCUCAACCUCGAGAUGUCGGUGGAAACUGCCUGGCUAGAGUCCGGAAGAGGAGUGUGGAAUUCCUGGUGUAGCGGUGAAAUGCGCAGAUAUCAGGAAGAACACCUAUGGCGAAGGCAGCACUCUGGGACGGUACUGACGCUGAGACGCGAAA